AUGAGAGAAUCCAUUCUGUAAUAAUUCUUUGUACCUUUCUCAUGCCUUAUACAAGGACUCAUCAUCCAUUUGUUGGAAAGCAGAGAUCUCAUUCCUCAACUU
rnacentral:snoRNA from 1 species